GCUCCCAUGCCGUAGUGGUCACUGCACUCGCCUUGCACGCGGGAGACCCGGGUUCGAUUCCCGGCGGGGUCA
rfam:Asian citrus Psyllid, Diaphorina citri - Florida Strain, whole genome shotgun sequence.